rnacentral:rRNA from 1 species
CAGCAGCCGCGGUAAUACGUAGGUGGCAAGCGUUGUCCGGAUUUAUUGGGUUUAAAGGGUGCGCAGGCGGUCGUUCAAGUCGAGUGUGAAAGCCCCCGGCUCAACUGGGGAGGGUCACUCGAUACUGAUCGACUCGAAGGCAGGAGAGGGAAGUGGAAUUCCCGGUGUAGUGGUGAAAUGCGCAGAUAUCAGGAGGAACACCGAUAGCGAAGGCAGCUCGCUGGGACGUGACUGACACUGAGACACGAAAGCGUGGGGAGCAAACAGGAUUAGAUACCCUGGUAGUCCACGCCCUAAACGAUGCGAACUGGAUGUUGGGUUCAACUUGGAACCCAGUAUCGAAGCUAACGCGUUAAGUUCGCCGCCUGGGGAGUACGGUCGCAAGACUGAAACUCAAAG